rnacentral:rRNA from 1 species
GAUUUGAGACCCCUGUGGUCUCCGGAGGCGUGAGUGGCUCGUGCCGGAUGUGCCGAAAGGUGAAAGAUUUAUUGCCUGAAGAUGAGCUCGCGUCUGAUUAGCUAGUUGGUGUGGUAAGAGCGCACCAAGGCGACGAUCAGUAGCUGGUCUGAGAGGAUGAUCAGCCACACUGGGACUGAGACACGGCCCAGACUCCUACGGGAGGCAGCAGUGGGGAAUUUUCCGCAAUGGGCGAAAGCCUGACGGAGCAAUACCGCGUGAGGGAGGAAGGCUCUUGGGUUGUAAACCUCUUUUCUCAGGGAAUAAAAAAAUGAAGGUACCUGAGGAAUAAGCAUCGGCUAACUCCGUGCCAGCAGCCGCGGUAAUACGGAGGAUGCAAGCGUUAUCCGGAAUGAUUGGGCGUAAAGCGUCCGCAGGUGGCACUGUAAGUCUGCUGUUAAAGAGCAAGGCUCAACCUUGUAAAGGCAGUGGAAACUACAGAGCUAGAGUACGUUCGGGGCAGAGGGAAUUCCUGGUGUAGCGGUGAAAUGCGUAGAGAUCAUGAAGAACACCGGUGGCGAAAGCGCUCUGCUAGGCCGUAACUGACACUGAGGGACGAAAGCUAGGGGAGCGAAAGGGAUUAGAUACCCCCUGUAGUCAUCGG